rnacentral:rRNA from 1 species
GACGAACGCUGGCGGCGUGCUUAACACAUGCAAGUCGAACGAAGAGCGACGGAAGCUUGCUUCUAUCACUCUUAGUGGCGAACGGGUGAGUAACGCGUAAUCAACCUGCCCUUCAGAGGGGGACAACAGUUGGAAACGACUGCUAAUACCGCAUACGAUCUAACCUCGGCAUCGAGGAUAGAUGAAAGGUGGCCUCUACAUGUAAGCUAUCACUGAAGGAGGGGAUUGCGUCUGAUUAGCUAGUUGGAGGGGUAACGGCCCACCAAGGCGAUGAUCAGUAGCCGGUCUGAGAGGAUGAACGGCCACAGUGGGACUGAGACACGGCCCAGACUCCUACGGGAGGCAGCAGUGGGGAAUCUUCCGCAAUAGACGAAAGUCUGACGGAGCAACGCCGCGUGAGUGAUGACGGCCUUCGGGUUGUAAAGCUCUGUUAAUCGGGACGAAAGGCCUUCUUGCGAAUAGUGAGAAGGAUUGACGGUACCGGAAUAGAAAGCCACGGCUAACUACGUG